CAUAAGUUGUGAAUUCAAUUUGUUUAACUGCUUGAUUGAUAACUUAUUCGUGUAUGUUUAUUAAGAAUGCACACUUAGUUUGCAUGCAUGAAUAUGAUGCUAGAGUAUAAGGGAGUUUCACCUAAUAGUUACAAACUUAUAUUCACAAGUAGUGAAUGUCGCUUAUAAACGAUCGCGUUAAAUAAAUUCUUGGCAGGAGUUUCAUGCUCAUCAUAGUAACGAGUGCCUCGUCAAUACUUAUAGUUUUCAUAAUGCUUAAUGAUCUUUGAUUGUAUCUUUAUUGUGCUGUUCACGUAAAGAACUUUUGAAGAAUGCUUGAAUUGUUGUAUACGCUUUCCCAUCCAAUUCAAUAACUUAAAGAGAACUUGAAGGUUAAUUUAAGCGGACUUAAUUAACCUGGGGUGUUGAGUUUCAUGAUUGAUCGAAAGAACAACUGAAAAUUGGUUUAUGUGCAAGUAUGUCAUAUGUGGAGAAGAACCUCCUAGCUAGCCUUCCAUCCAUUCAAUUUACUCAAAUUCGUGCAGAUUUCAUUAGUUCUUUAAUUUACUUGUUUUGUUUUCAAAUUCGUCAAAACCAAAACCCCCUUUACUUUAAAGUGUUUUAUUAGUCAAAAUCUGUUUUGAUUUAUGUUUUUAGGUGUCCCAAAAGUGUGAGUCCAAAUCUACCCAGUUUGUGUUUUUAGGUAGAUUUGAGCGUUUUUAGCUUGUUUUGAGUCAUUUGAGUUUGUUUUAAGUUCUUUAAGUCUAGUUUAGUGUUUUUAACUUUGUUUAUAUGUUUUAAGUCAGUUUAGAGGUUUUAGCAAGCCCUCAUAAUCCCCGGUUUAGAACGAUCCAUACUUGCAUUUAUACUACAAUUUGACAAUAAGAGGGUUUAAUUUGUGUGUUAAGUUAAUUUUCGCAUUAAUGGGUUCAGCCGAGUAUGGGAUGGGUACAAUUAUUCUAAAUCUGAAA
rnacentral:lncRNA from 1 species